rnacentral:rRNA from 1 species
UACGUAGGGGGCAAGCGUUGUCCGGAAUUAUUGGGCGUAAAGAGCGUGUAGGCGGUCCGGUAAGUCAGCUGUGAAAGUCAAGGGCUCAACCCUUGAAUGCCGGUUGAUACUGUCGGGCUAGAGUCCGGAAGAGGCGAGUGGAAUUCCCGGUGUAGCGGUGAAAUGCGCAGAUAUCGGGAGGAACACUAAUGGCGAAGGCAGCUCGCUGGGACGGUACUGACGCUGAGACGCGAAAGCGUGGGGAGCAAACGGG